AACCAUUCUCACCUGCGGCUAGACCUGCGGAGGGAUCAUUACACAAUACAAUAUGAAGGCUGUCCGCAGCUGGAGUAUUUUAUUACCCUUGUCUUUUGCGCACUUGUUGUUUCCUGGGCGGGUUCGCUCGCCACCAGGACCACCAAAUAAACCUUUUUUAUGCAGUUGCAAUCAGCGUCAGUACAAACAAUGUAAAUCAUUUACAACUUUCAACAACGGAUCUCAGAUCGGAAGAGCACA
rnacentral:misc_RNA from 1 species